rnacentral:rRNA from 1 species
GAACCAUCCGCAAUGCACGAAAGUGUGACGGUGCGACGCCGCGUGAUUGAUGACGCCCUUCGGGGUGUAAAGAUCUUUUAUGAGGGAGGAAACUAUUGACGUUACCUCAUGAAUAAGGGGCUCCUAAUCUGGUGCCAGCAGGAGCGGUAAUACCAGAGCCUCAAGCGUUAUCCGGAAUUAUUGGGCGUAAAGGGUCCGUAGGUGGUUAUGUUAGUCUUUUGUUAAAUCUCCCGGCUUAACCGGGAAUCAGCAUAAGAAACGGCACAACUUGAGAAUGUGAGAGGUGUACGGAACUCACGGUGUAGGGGUGAAAUCCGUUGAUAUCGUGGGGAACACCAAAAGCGAAGGCA